rnacentral:misc_RNA from 1 species
GAUGAAGAACGCAGCGAAAUGCGAUAAGUAAUGUGAAUUGCAGAAUUCAGUGAAUCAUCGAAUCUUUGAACGCAUCUUGCGCUCCUUGGUAAUCUGAGGAGCAUGCCUGUUUGAGUGUCAUUAAAUUCUCAACCGCACUGACUUUGAAUUGGUGUGGCUUGGAUUUGGGGGGAAAAUUGUUGUGGGCUUUUUUGUAUAGUCUGCUCCCCUGAAAUUGAUUAGCGGUACCUUUGUGGAACUGUCUACAGGUGUGAUAAUUAUCUACAUCCUAGACAUCUGCUGGAAUGCUGCUUUCUAAACCUUACUUGUAUUGACAAUCUUGACCUCAAAUCAGGUAGGACUACCCGCUGAACUUAAGCAUAUCAAUAAGCGGAGGA